UAGAAGAUCCGAGUAGCAUCUUGGCGGGGCAAUAUCAAGGUUGCAUAGUUCUCACUCUGCAACCGUGUGUUUGCAGCCAUGGCUUUACCCGGUUUGUAGCUGUGUUCAUCUCUCAAUUAUAUGCCUAAGUCUUCCAGAUUUUUGAUAAGCGAAUGAGCAGGUGGUGUAUCGAAAUCAAUCUUCCCCUUAGGCGAUUGAACCCGCUGCAAGUCAAAACCGACAACGAACCAGAUUAGAUCAGCAACUGAUGGGGAUGAUACUGAUGGGGAUGAUGGUGGCGGAUAAAAUGAAAUGGCAAACCCUAAAAUCGAUUGUAUAGUACACGGUGUUUUAUUUUUAAUCCUGAAGCUUUGCAGAUUGUACAUUAUGCUUUAGAAGGUUGUAAAUGUUGAAAUAGCUAUGAAGCAUAAGCUGAGCUUCAAACGCUAUGAUGGUUGCAUGAGCAUCAAUUGUGAUGUUCAUUUGAAGGGUACUUACAUCUCCCUGACUUGAUGAUAGUCAUUAGACUGUGAUGAUUGUUGUAUUUUGAGGGUACAUAGAAGAUCCGAGUAGCAUCUUGGCGGGGCAAUAUCCAGGGUACAUAGAAGAUCCGUGUGUUGCAGCCAUGGCUUUACCCGGUUCGUAGCUGUGUUCAUCUCUCAGUUACAUGUCUGAGUCUUCCAGAUGUUUUGAUAAGCAAAUGAGCAGGUGGUGUAUCGAAAUCAAUCUUCCCCUUAGGCGAUUGAACCCGCCGCAAGUCGAAACCGACAACGAAUCAGUUUUAAGAAGUACCAAGAGCUGGCCACAUCACCUACAUAAGCUACACAUUCAUAAUGACCUUUAUACCCCUCUCUGCCCGAGUUCUAGUCUCAGGAAGUCUAGCAGGCCAGUAAAGUUCAUCCAGGGUUGGGACAGGUUCUAUUGGAGGCAAAAGUGUCUCCUGCAGUGUUUCGGGGUAGAAGAUUAUGUUCGGUCCCUACAGAUUUUGUGUUUCGAGCUCCCUAUGCACAAGACGAGAAAUCUGUUAUCUGAGAUGGUGCAGAAAAUUUAUGUCAAGUCCAUGUAUGAUUCUGUGAUGCUGCUGGAUCGUGGUCAAGUUUCAAACUGCAUGUUUCUGGUCGCCAAGAGCUGGCUGCAUCAGAUUUUCUAUUGGACUUGCAUGGUUUGGUUACAUGCUUGUGACAUGUCUGGAUUAAAUGUUUGUAUGGUUCAUACUUUAAAGGCCCAGCUCAAGCUUCAUGUGCAGACGAAUGGAGUGGGUUAGCAGGGGCAUUUUGGUAAAAAACAAUGCUGGGUUUCACGAGUCUGGCCAUAUAAAUAUGGCCUACCUUGUUUGGUUACUGAGUUUUGGCACUCUGAGUUUAGACUCCUUGUGUAGUUAUUUCUAAAACAGUUAUUUCUAAAUUUUCUAAAUAUGCCUAUUUGAUUUUAAGUUUCUAUUACUAAAUUUGUUUUUACGUAACACAUAGGGGAGAUGGCUUGGAAUGAGAUGAGAAGAGCUUGGGUUGGUGACCGAUCUCAAAAAUCACACACCAAGUUUAGACGGCCAAUUCUGAGUUGGACCACAAGUUUUGAAGAUUUGCUGUCAACUGGUGAACCAUUCCCAGAGUCGAUUCCAUUAACUGAUGUCAUGGAUCUUUUAGUUGACAUUUGGGUCGAAGAAGGUUUUUACAAUUAGAUGCAAGACCGCGUGCAUUUUGACACCAGGAGCAUUGGCAAAAUUAUGCUAAAGAGGUAACUAGACUUCGAAAAACGCCAAACCAAACCAGGCAGGUUAGGUGAGUCAGUUGGUUUUUGCAGUUCAGAUUCAAACGGUUUUUAUACACCCCCAUCCCCCAGUUUGAAAAAGUAGUCUUCGAGAAAUGCCAAACCAAACCUCCCAGGUGGGGUGACUCGGCUGGUUUUGCAGUUCGGUUUUCAAGUUUGAAGUUUUUUUUUUCUUAUUUUUCAAAAUCAUUAUUGUAUAUUAAUAUUUUUAAAAUGAUAUAAAUGUAGUAAGUUUUGUAAUCUAUAUUAUAUAUAUAAUGCAUAUUAGAAGGGCAAAAAUGGUCAUUUGCCACUUAAUCAACAUGUACAACUUUUUAAAGCAUAUGUACAACCAUUUCAAGCAUCAAGAUUGACACCCAAGAUGUGACGGAUGUAGGCUCAAAAUCCACAAGAAGAGUUGCAGUGAAUUACUGUUGUAAGGAAAGUAUACCAAAAAGCUUUUGUGACACCUACUCAUCAUAUUGAGCAACAAUGAGAAUUUAAAGUUCAGUUAGCAAUUAUUUUUCCACUAAAAGGAAUCCUUGUAUGUUAUAAUUAUUAUAAGUUAUAUAUUUUAGUUGAUCAAUAUGGUAAAUUUGGUUUACAGUGAAUAACAAUUUACCCUUUUCCUCUAAAAAAUGUUAGCGCUGCUUUUAAUACAGAGGUAUUCGGUUGGGAUCACGAGUUAAAACAAUGCUUUUAUUACAGAGGUAUUUGUGAUGUAAUGCGACUUUUUAUUCAC